GGGAUAGGAACUUAGGCUAAAACCAUGCCGUCAAUCACAAAGCCUAAGCCACCACAUCCUGUGGA
rnacentral:sRNA from 1 species